ensembl:lncRNA
CUUUUCUUUUCUUUUCUUUUUCUUUUCUUUUCUAAGGAAAAAGAUACCUAGCACGAACACAGGAGGAGGCCUAAAAAUCUCAGAAGUGAUGAUGACUGUUGGAGCAUUAGUAUCUAGGGCAGUGACAGGAAUCCCACUAGAUCAGUUAUACAAAAUGCCAGCAGCGUCUGCCUCACACUCUGAGGUGCGUGGGGCUCUGCAGACAUCGUGGCAGGUGUCGUGGCCACGCAGCCAUCUCCUGCCAUCUGCAUCCCGACCCAAUGGCACCCACACACCCCUGGGCUGGGGCUGGGUCCUGCUGGGAGAGCAGGGACAGAAGGGGAUGCUGCUGAGCCCGGGGGUGCGAGCUGGGAGGGAGCAUGCGGGGCGAGACAGCCUGGGAGAAGCUUGUCCUACUGCUCCCUCUGCUGUACCCAUCCUGCAGAGAAAUCCCAAAUGUCAGCCGGAGAAGCCGGGAUGACAGAUGGCAGCUUUCAGCCAGAAAUCUGCACGGACCCAGGUGGACUCGAGAAAGGGGAGAAAGCACGUCGACGAGGAAGGAAAGACCACCAGACGCAGGAGAUGGCGCGAUGCGCAUCUUCCCGCGUUCAGCACAUUAAAUCUCUUUUGCUCUGUACCUGCUAGGAGAGAUGUUAUCCUUCCGCUUCCAGCACGGCGCAGGGAACACAGGGAAACAACGCCUCUCCUUGAGCGCGGUCUUCCCGCUUUAUAACCUAUAUUUAGCCGAUGAUCUCAUCCUACGAGGACGGGUGUCACGAUCAGCUGCGCGGCUCAGCCUGCAGAGAGGCGCAUGAAGCUCCCCAGGCAUGGUUGCUUACAGCAGCCAAAUGACAAGUUAUGCAAUGCCGGCAGCAAAUGCCUCGCAUACCCCGGGCUCCUCGCAGACAUCAAACGGGGGAAAAACACCCGAUCUGGGAUUCAUGUUAAUGCCACACCGAAUUUCACAGGACGAAGCAUGGGCAAAAGUGGCGAAAGGGGAAAAUGGGCUUACGGAAAGGCAAAUAAUGAUUUGUGAAUUAUCAAUCUGACCGUCGGUGAGACUUUUUUAACCCACCACCACCUUAACGUGACUCCGGUCAAAAAUCCCACCGUGCACACUAUUUCUGAGGGCUGAGAAAUCAGCAGCAUUGAAUACCACCUACUAAAGACAUCUGCAGCUGCCAUGAAAAUCUUGCUUUGAAUACAGUGAAAGCUGGUACCCCCAGAAAAAUACAUACUUUCAAAUGCUCAGGUAUUACAGUGUGCUUCUUGUGAUCUUCAGAGCAGUAUUUCAGCUACCGCAAACUUCCCUUUCAGCCCUGAUUUAUGGAAAUCCAAACCAGAGUAAAGACUACCUCAGAAGAAGAAAUCACUCUCAAGCGCUUUUCUCCGAGAAGCACGCGUUUUCCAUAUGAAAAGAGACGAUUAAAGGCUGCAAGUCCAAAAGGCUGGAGUGCAGCAUUUAGGAUUUGGUGACUUUGAACCUCCAAUCAGACAUUCAUCUUAAACCGUACAGAGAAUUUCAGGAACUUGACACAACUUCUACUGGAAAUAAAACCCAAACCCCAAAUCUUCCCAAUACCAGUAUGAGAUUAAAACAACUAAUUAGUGAAUUUCAGAAAUCAACAGAUUAACUGCAUUCUCUUUUCCUCCCUGACCUAAGUAUGAUUUCCUUUUAUAUUACAGAACAUCUACCAGUUAAUGAAAAUAUCAGAAACUGGAUUUUAUAAUAUAACGUGGUGAUAAAAGUAGAUUACAUUUAAAUGUCAAUGGGAUCUAUGGAACAGAGCAAAUCCGAAGAAACACAUUCAAUAAUUUUAAAGUUGUGAAUAAUUAGCAUUCACAUUCAAAUGCACUCGG